UACGUAGGCAGCAAGCGUUGUUCGGAAUUACUGGGCGUAAAGGGCUCGUAGGCGGCCAACUAAGUCAGACGUGAAAUCCCUCGGCUUAACCGGGGAACUGCGUCUGAUACUGGAUGGCUUGAGAUUGGGAGAGGGAUGCGGAAUUCCAGGUGUAGCGGUGAAAUGCGUAGAUAUCUGGAGGAACACCGGUGGCGAAGGCGGCAUCCUGGACCAACACUGACGCUGAGGAGCGAAAGCCAGGGGAGCAAACGGG
rnacentral:rRNA from 1 species